GACGAACCACCCAAACGUUAUUCGGAAUUACUGGGCUUAAAGAGUGCGUAGGCGGCCUUGUAAGUAGGGUGUGAAAUCCCACAGCUCAACUGUGGAACUGCGCUCUAAACUACAUGGCUAGAGGGAUAUAGAGGUGAGCGGAAUUCCUGGUGUAGCGGUGAAAUGCGCAGAGUAUCAAGGAGGAACACCGGUGGCGAAGGCG
rnacentral:rRNA from 1 species